GAUGAACGCUGGCGGCGUGCCUAAUACAUGCCAGUCGAGCGAACGGACGAGAAGCUUGCUUCUCUGAUGUUAGCGGCGGACGGGUGAGUAACACGUGGAUAACCUACCUAUAAGACUGGGAUAACUUCGGGAAACCGUAGCUAAUACCGGAUGAUAUUUUGAACCGCAUGGUUCAAAAGUGAAAGACGGUCUUGCUGUCACUUAUAGAUGGAUCCGCGCUGCAUUAGCUAGUUGGUAAGGUAACGGCUUACCAAGGCAACGAUGCAUAGCCGACCUGAGAGGGUGAUCGGCCACACUGGAACUGAGACACGGUCCAGACUCCUACGGGAGGCAGCAGUAGGGAAUCUUCCGCAAUGGGCGAAAGCCUGACGGAGCAACGCCGCGUGAGUGAUGAAGGUCUUCGGAUCGUAAAACUCUGUUAUUAGGGAAGAACAUAUGUGUAAGUAACUGUGCACAUCUUGACGGUACCUAAUCAGAAAGCCACGGCUAACUACGUG
rnacentral:rRNA from 1 species